AUUGAACGCUAGCGGGAUGCUUUACACAUGCCAGUCGAACGAGUGGCGGACGGGUGAGUAAUAUAUCGGAACGUGACCAGUAGCGGGGGAUAACUACUCGAAAGAGUGGCUCAUACCGCCUCCUAUUGGAGCGGCCGAUCUCGGAUUAGCUAGUUGGUGGGGUAAAGGCUCAACACGGAAACGAGCCGUAGCUGGUUUUAGCGGAAGACCAGCCACACUGGGACUGGGACACGGCCCAGACUCCUACGUGAGGCAGCAGUGGGGAAUUUUGGACAAUGGGGGAAACCCUGAUCCAGCCAUCCCGCGUGUAUGAGAAGGCCUUCGGGUUGUAAAUUACUUUUGGCAGAGAAGCGGUAUCUGCAGAAUAAGCACCGGCUAACUACGUGCCAGCCGCCGCGGUAAUAC
rnacentral:rRNA from 1 species